UGCCAGGUUUUGAGAAAAGGUCUUAGCUAUCCCAGAUUGGCCUGGAAUUUAUCAAUAGCUAGGAAGGACUUUGAACUUUGAUCCUUCUGCCUCCAUUUCCUCAAAGCUGAGACUACAGCCAAGUACCACUGUGCCUGGUUUAUUCAGUGCUGGGGACAGACCCCAUAGCUUUGUGCAUUUAGUUAAGCAUCCAGCAACUGAGCCCACUUGUUAAGAAUCUCUGAAGGCCAAAGAGUUUUGGAUACUACAGAAGCUGUGGCCUCCCAGACUGUGCUCUGACACUCGGCACAACCUAUAAUCAGUCCUAUGAAGAUCCCAGCUGACAUCUGCCUUGAUGCCCCGCUGCUUGCAUUAGGGGACUUUCAGUACUUUGUGCUGCAUAAAACUGAAACAGCGGGGACUGGCGAGAUGGCUCAGUGGUUAAGAGCGCCGACUGCUCUUCUGAAGGUCCCGAGU